UACGUAGGGGGCAAGCGUUAUCCGGAAUUACUGGGUGUAAAGGGUGCGUAGGCGGCACGCCAAGCCAGUUGUGAAACCCGUAGGCUCAACCUACGGCUUGCAAUUGAAACUGGCGAGCUAGAGUACAGGAGAGGAAAGCGGAAUUCCUAGUGUAGCGGUGAAAUGCGUAGAUAUUAGGAAGAACACCGGUGGCGAAGGCGGCUUUCUGGACUGAAACUGACGCUGAGGCACGAAAGCGUGGGGAGCAAACAGG
rnacentral:rRNA from 1 species